UAAUAAACAGUGGAGCAACAGUUCUGCGUGAAGCGGGUCAGGGGAGGAAUCCAGCAGCCCUAAGCGAGUGUGAAUUGUGUGCUCUUUUUUCGUGCAUAAAACA
rnacentral:SRP_RNA from 1 species